GCCCUCUUAGGCCUGCACCUGGAGAAUUUCCAGUACUCUACCAGUCUUGGCAAUGGGAGGGAGAGUCAAGCAGAGGCCUACCUAUUCCAUUCCUAGCUUGGGCAGUAGUGGCUAGCGAGUGGAAGGAAAUCUGCUACAAGU